rnacentral:rRNA from 1 species
AUCCAGACUCCUACGGGAGGCAGCAGUGGGGAAUAUUGCACAAUGGGGGAAACCCUGAUGCAGCGACGCCGCGUGAGCGAUGAAGUAUUUCGGUAUGUAAAGCUCUAUCAGCAGGGAAGAAAAUGACGGUACCUGACUAAGAAGCCCCGGCUAACUACGUGCCAGCAGCCGCGGUAAUACGUAGGGGGCAAGCGUUAUCCGGAUUUACUGGGUGUAAAGGGAGCGUAGACGGCUGUGCAAGCCAGAUGUGAAAGCCCGGGGCUCAACCCCGGGACUGCAUUUGGAACUGUGUGGCUGGAGUGUCGGAGAGGCAGGCGGAAUUCCUAGUGUAGCGGUGAAAUGCGUAGAUAUUAGGAGGAACACCAGUGGCGAAGGCGGCCUGCUGGACGAUGACUGACGUUGAGGCUCGAAAGCGUGGGGAGCAAACAGGAUUAGAUACCCUGGUAAUA